GUAGGUGAACCUGCGGAAGGAUCAUUACAUUCAGUAGUUUACUACUGUGGGGAGAGGGGAAAAUACCCGCCUUGUCUUUGGGCACUGCGGCGUACGAGUACGCUCUCUUUCAUAACCCUUGUCUUUUUGCGCACUCAUGUUUCCUCGGCGGGCUUGCCCGCCGGUUGGACACUUCUAUAACCGUUUUUAAUUCUCAAUCAGCGUCUGAAUAAUUAUAAUAAUUACAACUUUCAACAACGGAUCUCUUGGUUCUG
rnacentral:misc_RNA from 1 species